CACGUAGGGGGCAAGCGUUGUCCGGAUUUUAUUUGGGCGUAAAGAGCUCGUAGGCGGUUCGGUAAGUCGGGGUGUGAAACCUCCAGGCUCAACCUGGAGACGCCACCCGAUACUGCUGUGACUAGAGUCCGGUAGGGGAGCGUGGAAUUUCCUGGUGUAGCGGUGAAAUGCGCAGAUAUCAGGAGGAACACCAGCGGCGAAGGCGGCGCUCUGGGCCGGAACUGACGCUGAGGAGCGAAAGCGUGGGGAUCAAACAGG
rnacentral:rRNA from 1 species